UUUGAACUUCUAUCUAUACACUCUUUUCUGCAAUGGCGGUAUGAACCAGACAGUGGGGACACAGCUGUUGGAUCCUUGGCUGGAGAUAACCCUGGAGUUUUCUGUACAUGCUGGGAAUACUAAGGGAAUCAGCACUGCAGACCCUUCUAGAGAGAGGAGCGCCCAUCCCACACGAAGAAGGGCAUGCUGGAAGCUAUACUGGGAGACAGAAGAAGACAGCCUGAACUCAGCCUGGCACUGUGCCCUGGCCAGCCUCUUCUCAUAGUCCUGAAGGACGUGCAGCAGGCCGCCCUCUGUUCCCAGCCCCUCCCAGCAUGGUGGCUUUGCAUGGGUUCCAUUGCCCACUGUAUAUUUAUCACUGCCCACCAGGAAGCAAGCAAGGAUGAUACACACCCAAGGGCCUGCCCCCAGUGACCUCCUUCCUCCACUUUGACCCCACUUCCCAACAGUUCCUGAACCUCCCAAAACAGUGCCACAAGCUGGGACCAAGUUUUCAAAAUGUGAUUUUUCUGGAGGAUGUUUCAGAUCCCUACCCUAGCACUUUCCUCUAGGGCUAAGAACGUUAUUUAGUUCCUUGUACCAGGAGCUUGUGUAUUGGCUUGUCUAGGCAACUGCACUGUUCAUUCAGAUCUGGCCCUACUGGUAUCCACGGUGCAAACAUGUUUUAAUAAUAAUAACAACAGUAAUACGAGACAUUCUGACAACCAAAUUGUCAGCACGGCGCUUACACUUCCCACAUUAAUUUGUUACAGCUGUCAUGACAAAGUACCACACAUCGGAGGCUGAAGUCAGAGAAAUGAGUCUUCUCACAGCUAGAACGGUGGUUCUCCACACCACUCAGUAGGGAAGUUACAGUUAUGAAGUAGCAACGAAAAU